rnacentral:rRNA from 1 species
CCUACGGGAGGCAGCAGUGAGGAAUAUUGGUCAAUGGACGAGAGUCUGAACCAGCCAAGUAGCGUGAAGGAUGACUGCCCUAUGGGUUGUAAACUUCUUUUAUAAAGGAAUAAAACGAGGCACGUGUGCCUUUUUGCAUGUACUUUAUGAAUAAGGAUCGGCUAACUCCGUGCCAGCAGCCGCGGUAAUACGGAGGAUCCGAGCGUUAUCCGGAUUUAUUGGGUUUAAAGGGAGCGUAGAUGGGUUGUUAAGUCAGUUGUGAAAGUUUGCGGCUCAACCGUAAAAUUGCAAUUGAUACUGGCAGUCUAGAGGACAGUUGAGGUAGGCGGAAUUCGUGGUGUAGCGGUGAAAUGCUUAGAUAUGACGAAGAACCCCGAUUGCGAAGGCAGCUUACUAAACUGUGACUGACAUUGAUGCACGAAAGUGUGGGUAUCAAACAGGAUUAGAUACCCUAGUAGUC